rnacentral:tRNA from 1 species
CGGGGUGUGGCGCAGCUUGGUAGCGCGCGUUGUUCGGGACGACGAGGUCGCAGGUUCAAAUCCUGUCACCCCGA